UACGUAGGGUGCGAGCGUUAAUCGGAAUUACUGGGCGUAAAGCGCGCGUAGGCGGCUUUGUAAGUUAGAGGUGAAAGCCCGGAGCUCAACUCCGGAACUGCCUUUAAGACUGCAUCGCUAGAACGUCGGAGAGGUAAGUGGAAUUCCGAGUGUAGAGGUGAAAUUCGUAGAUAUUCGGAAGAACACCAGUGGCGAAGGCGACUUACUGGACGACUGUUGACGCUGAGGUGCAAAAGCGUGGGGAGCAAACAGG
rnacentral:rRNA from 1 species